ACUGUCAGGGAGCUCAAUGCACU
rnacentral:miRNA from 1 species